rnacentral:sRNA from 1 species
AAAAAAACAACAAAAAGAA